rnacentral:rRNA from 1 species
UACGGGGGGAGCAAGCGUUGUUCGGAUUUACUGGGCGUAAAGGGCGGGUAGGCGGCCACCGCAAGUCAGUUGUGAAAUCUCUGGGCUUAACCCAGAAAGGUCAACUGAUACUGCGGGGCUAGAGUGCAGAAGGGGCAACUGGAAUUCUCGGUGUAGCGGUGAAAUGCGUAGAUAUCUGGAGGAACACCGGUGGCGAAGGCGACUCCUGGACCAAUACUGACGCUCAGGUGCGAAAGCGUGGGGAGCAAACAGG